GUUCUUCCGAAUAUCUACGAAUUUCACCUCUACACUCGGAAUUCCACUCACCUCUCCUGGAUUCAAGCGAUGCAGUCUAAAAGGCAGUUCUGGUGUUGAGCACCAGGCUUUCACCUCUUACUUACAAAGCCGCCUACGUGCGCUUUACGCCCAGUAAUUCCGAAUAACGCUAGCUCCCUCCGUAUUACCGCGGCUGCUGGCACGGAGUUAGCCGGAGCUUAUUCUCCCGGUACUGUCAUUAUCAUCCCGGGUAAAAGAGCUUUACAACCCUAAGGCCUUCAUCACUCACGCGGCAUUGCUGGAUCAGGCUUUCGCCCAUUGUCCAAUAUUCCCCACUGCUGCCUCCCGUAGGAGUCUGGGCCGUGUCUCAGUCCCAGUGUGGCUGAUCAUCCUCUCAGACCAGCUAAGGAUCGUCGCCUUGGUGCGCCUUUACCACACCAACUAGCUAAUCCUACGCGGGCUCAUCCCUA
rnacentral:rRNA from 1 species